CUGCAGUGCUCUUCUCUGUUACAAGACAUUGAGGCAAGAAGUGUGUUAACUACGUAGAAGUGCUGUCAGGGAGUUAUCCUGAGAGGAAGGGCAACACCUGGAAAUGGUGAACCCACAAGAACAGAGAGCGAGGUCUGGCUGUUCUCUGUCCUAGCAGUAAGAAGCUACUGCAGCAGACAGGCUACAUGUCGGAGUAUCGGUUCCUUGAAAGGAAAAGGAACUCAUGCAUGUAAAUACCAAGAAGCUCUAAAUUGGGAUUGGUGCUCUUCUGCAUUCAAGGUAGGAUUUUGCAGCUGUUAACUUCUUUCACAAAUAGAAUGCAACAAAAUGGAAGUGCAGACAUAAACACGUGAGCUUUCCUGUUCUGCUAAAUUCUCUGGUGACUGGUGCUGCCAGUUAUCUCACGAUAGCAGGAAAUGUGGAGACCUGAUAUUACAACUUUUAUAAUAUAUCUGCUUCCAUUUCUGUGCUUAUAUUAAAGUUUAGUGUUUUGUGUAUGUAUGACUGAAAUGAAAGUUCAAACCUGUGACUCACUGUCAUGGAAUAGGUUACUGGAUUAUUAAUACUUUAACAUUUUCCUUUGGCAAAUAUGAAAGCAAUUGUAACUAAGUAUAGGACUUAGAAGAAAUAAACUAUUUCUAGAUACAAG
rnacentral:lncRNA from 1 species